UGGGGGAUAUUUGACAAAGGGGGCAAACCUGAUCCCGCCCUACCGCGUGGGUGAAGAAAGCCUUUGGGGUGUAAAACCCUUUUGUUGGGAAAGAAAUCCAGCUGGGUUAUACCCGGUUGGGAUGACGGUACCCAAAGAAUAAACCCCGGGUAAAUUCGUGCCAGCAGCCGCGGUAAUUUGAAGGGGGCCAACGUUACUUUGAAUUUCUGGGGGUAAAGCGUGCGUAGGUGGUUGUUUAAAUUCGAUGUGAAAGUCCUCGGCUCAACCUGGGAAAUGCAUUGGAUAAUGGGCGAGUAGAAUGUGGUAGAGGGUAGCGGAAUUUCUGGUGUAGCAGUGAAAUGCGUAGAGAUCAGGGGGGACAUCCAUGGCGAAGGCAGCUACCUGGGCCAACAUUGACACUGAGGCACGAAAGCGUGGGGAGCAAACAGGAUUAGAUACCCUGGUAGUCCACGCCCUAAAAGAUGCGAAAUGGAUGUUGGGUGCAAUUUGGCACUCAUUAUCGAAGCUAACGCGUUAAGUUCGCCGCCGGGGGAGUACGGUCGCAAGACUGAAACUC
rnacentral:rRNA from 1 species